UCAUUGCUAUAAGACGUGAGGCUUGUACUAACAAACACCAGUGUGUUUUUCAUCUGGGUCAAGAGGACGCAGGCUUCCCACCUCCAAGUGGAGGUUGAAAUUGAUCCCAUGCAGGGCCCUGUGGGGCUCCUGGGCACAAGACCUUUCUGUGUCCCCCAUUUCUUUGAUUAUAGGAAACAGCCUUUAUUCAGCCCGCAUGACCUUUCCUGGGUUCCAAUGGGCAGAUUCAAGCCACUGUUAAUUAGGGAAGGAAGGGGAUGUGAGACCAGGGAGAAAGAGUCAAGAGCAGCUUUGAGGCAGGGUCCUGUUUCCCCAUCAAAGGAUACACACAACAGUAUCUCUGAGCUGCUCUACAGAUACUGAAACCCCCUCCAGGUGGGAGAAGUUAGUGAUUAAUGAUGGUAUGUUGCCCACAAGCUUGUAGACCCCACAUCAGUUGGACCUGAAAGUUGAUGAUGUGGACUCCUAUUUACCUCAGCACCAACCCACUGGAAGAAUGUCUACAUUGGCUACAAUGUCUACAGUCCAUGGAGUCACAGAGUCAGACAUGACUGAUCGACUAAGCACCUUAGCACGUUCUAAAAGGGCUUCCCUGGUGGCUCAGCAGUAAAGAAUCUGCCUGCAAUGCCCGAGACCCGGCUUCGAUCCCUGGGUUGAGAAGAUCCCCUAGAGGAGGGCAUGGCAACCGACUCCAAUACUCUGGCCUAGAGAAUCCCAUGGGCAGAGGCACCUGGCCGACUGUAGCCCAUAGGAUCACACAGAGUUGGACACGACUGAAGCAACUAAGCAGCAGCAGAAGGCCAAGGCUUCAGAGAGAAAUACUUAAUAAUUAGUAUGUUAAAUUUCAUGGGAUUUCUAAAAAUCUGGUAUGCCCCAGUAAAAUGUUAUCUCAUUGUUUUCUAGUUGUUUUAAAAUGUUGCAUGUCAUAAUAACUCAGUUUAUUUUGUCAAUCCCAUUGUGGCCAAAUGUUUAUGACUUUUUAAAUUCCUUUUUAAAGUCUUUCUGUGAUUUAUAGAUGGCUAUUGUUGUAUUCAUGUAUAUUCAUGUAUGGACAUGAAUUUGAGCAAACUCCAGGAGAUAGUGGAGGACAGAGGAGCCUGGCAUGUUGAAGGCCAUGGGGUCGAAACAAGCUGGACGUAACUCAGGGACUGAACAACAACAACACUGUUGUAGUCUGUUAAAUCUCAGGUUAUACUGGGGAACUAGGUAAGGAAGAAAGUCCUAAGGGAAAGCCUGAUCGCUUCAUACAAAGUUAAAAACAGGAUUGGUUACUAAAUGGACUGUAAAUUAUGGUGAUAAAUUUAUGGGUUUUAUCUGAAAUGUCACUGAUUUUAACUCAUGUUUUCCAGAUAUAGGGAAGCCCUUCUCCUCAAGUUGGUUAUGAUUUACAACAGUUUGGUAAAUUAUACCUCUGUGAGUAAAACAGAGAUAUUUUUCUUUUCCCUCUGCCUGUUCUGUUCAAACAUUGUAAACUCUUGGGUUCUGAGCAGCCUUAUCAAACAAAUGGGAAAGACUCUUCUGGCAUGUGGGGGGAUCUUGAUAGUCUGAGGACUUCUAUAGAAGACAGAAAGUCACCUAGGCAAAAUCUGACGGCAGGCCUUUGACAUGGCUUUCUUGGUCUUGAGGGGCCUUUUGAAACUUUCAUCUGAGACUCCUACUGAGGAAUUACACCAGAAUCAACGUGGAUGAAUCCAUGUGGUCAAUGGACAAAACAGUUUAAAAAUAAAUUAGUCUCAGCUGUACCUGAUGAAAAUGGAGGUGAUUCUAGAAAAAAGAGGUUUCACUGAAUGUUAAAUUCUAGUGUUGUUAAAUAAGGUCUGUGUUUACCCACUUUCCUUGUUGUUGCAUCAUAUUGUUACAAAAUUUAAUUGUCAGAAGAACACUAAGUUUGUUUCUGAAGCCUAACUAUGUAAU
ensembl:lncRNA